AAAAUACUUUUAAAAUGAAUUUUAAAAGGGAAAUAAAGAGAAAAUCCAUAAAGCCCUUCAAAAUACCAAAUAAAUGGCCAAGAAAAAUAUGGAAGGUUUGAGAAAAAAAACAUAAAAUAAAUUUCUCACAAUUUUUAAAUGCUUAAAAGUAUUUUUAAACCAAUUAAAAUAGAGGAGAAAAGAGAAAAUUCGAGAAAAAUAGAAAAUCAAGAAAAUAAAAUGUGAAAAA
rnacentral:lncRNA from 1 species